rnacentral:misc_RNA from 1 species
UCCUGGUUUCCCAGGCAGUCCCAUCAGAGUGCCAUAUCCGAAGAUACGUUGCAACUGACAGCAAGGGUUGCGCUCGUUAGAGGACUUAACCCAACAUCUCACGACACGAGCUGACGACAGCCAUGCAGCACCUGUGCACGCGUUCGGACCGAAGCCCGAAAGAUCGUAUUUCUACGACUGUCAUGUGCAUGUCAAACCUAGGUAAGGUUCCUCGCGUAGUGUCGAAUUAAACCACAUGUUCCACCGCUUGUGCGGACCCCCGUCAAUUCCUUUGAGUUUUAAUCUUGCGACCGUACUACUCAGGCGGAUCACUUAACGCGUUAGCUUCGACACCAACUCAGCAAAGCUGAGCUGACGUCCAGUGAUCAUCGUUUACAGCGUGGACUAC